rnacentral:rRNA from 1 species
AUGAACGCUAGCGGCAGGCCUAACACAUGCAAGUCGAGGGGCAUCGGGAUUGAAGCUUGCUUCAAUUGCCGGCGACCGGCGCACGGGUGCGUAACGCGUAUGUAACCUACCUAUAACAGGGGCAUAACACUGAGAAAUUGGUACUAAUUCCCCAUAAUAUUCGGAGAGGCAUCUCUCCGGGUUGAAAACUCCGGUGGUUAUAGAUGGACAUGCGUUGUAUUAGCUAGUUGGUGAGGUAACGGCUCACCAAGGCAACGAUACAUAGGGGGACUGAGAGGUUAACCCCCCACACUGGUACUGAGACACGGACCAGACUCCUACGGGAGGCAGCAGUGAGGAAUAUUGGUCAAUGGACGCAAGUCUGAACCAGCCAUGCCGCGUGCAGGAAGACGGCUCUAUGAGUUGUAAACUGCUUUUGUACGAGGGUAAACUCACCUACGUGUAGGUGACUGAAAGUAUCGUACGAAUAAGGAUCGGCUAACUCCGUGCCAGCAGCCGCGGUAAUACGGAGGAUUCAAGCGUUAUCCGGAUUUAUUGGGUUUAAAGGGUGCGUAGGCGGUUUGAUAAGUUAGAGGUGAAAUCCCGGGGCUUAACUCCGGAACUGCCUCUAAUACUGUUAGACUAGAGAGUAGUUGCGGUAGGCGGAAUGUAUGGUGUAGCGGUGAAAUGCUUAGAGAUCAUACAGAACACCGAUUGCGAAGGCAGCUUACCAAACUAUAUCUGACGUUGAGGCACGAAAGCGUGGGGAGCAAACAGGAUUAGAUACCCUGGUAGUCCACGCCGUAAACGAUGAGUGCUAGGUGUUGGAUCCUUUCCGGGAUUCAGUGCCGCAGCUAACGCAUUAAGCACUCCGCCUGGGGAGUACGACCGCAAGGUUGAAACUCAAAGGAAUUGACGGGGGCCCGCACAAGCGGUGGAGCAUGUGGUUUAAUUCGAAGCAACGCGAAGAACCUUACCAGGUCUUGACAUUGAUCGCUAUUCCAAGAAAUUGGAAGUUCCUCUUCGGAGGACGAGAAAACAGGUGGUGCACGGCUGUCGUCAGCUCGUGUCGUGAGAUGUUGGGUUAAGUCCCGCAACGAGCGCAACCCCUAUCUUAUGUUACCAGCACGUUAUGGUGGGGACUCAUGAGAGACCGCCGCGGACAACGCGGAGGAAGGUGGGGAUGACGUCAAAUCAGCACGGCCCUUACGUCCGGGGCUACACACGUGUUACAAUGGUAGGUACAGAGGGUCGCUACCCCGUGAGGGGAUGCCAAUCUCGAAAGCCUAUCUCAGUUCGGAUUGGAGGCUGAAACCCGCCUCCAUGAAGUUGGAUUCGCUAGUAAUCGCGCAUCAGCCAUGGCGCGGUGAAUACGUUCCCGGGCCUUGUACACACCGCCCGUCAAGCCAUGGAAGCUGGGGGUGCCUGAAGUUCGUGACCGCAAGGAGCGACCUAGGGCAAAACCGGUAACUGGGGCU